rnacentral:rRNA from 1 species
CAGCAGCCGCGGGAAUACGGAGGGUGCAAGCGUUAAUCGGAAUUACUGGGCGUAAAGCGUGCGUAGGCGGUUUGUUAAGUCUGCUGUGAAAUCCCCGGGCUCAACCUGGGAAUGGCAGUGGAUACUGGCAAGCUAGAGUGUGUCAGAGGAUGGUGGAAUUCCCGGUGUAGCGGUGAAAUGCGUAGAGAUCGGGAGGAACAUCAGUGGCGAAGGCGGCCAUCUGGGACAACACUGACGCUGAGGCACGAAAGCGUGGGGAGCAAACAGGAUUAGAUACCCCCGUAGUCCCUGUCUCUUAUAC